AAGACGGCAAGUCAAGAGUGAUGCUUGUUACCCUAAUCUUCCAUCCCCUUCUCCCAUAUUUGCCCUCAAUGAUGUCUGUGGCCUAAACGAAUCUUGCAUAACAAAAUCUCCAGCCCAACAGUCGGUGUAAAUUGAAGAGUCAAUUGAUGACGAUGUAAAUUGAAGACGCGAUGAUUGAAACGGUGGAAGCAAUUACCAAAUAAUCAAUUAGGUUUGAUGAUUAAAAUCAACUGAAUUAAAGACGUCAAUUGAAUCUGCCCAGACGUUUCAGACCCACAAUUAUUUAAGAUGGAAUCCAUGAUUGAAUCGGGUGGUCAUUUGCGAGUUCAGUUGCCUAUAACCAGGUUUGAAUAUCGACUUUUGUACUAAAGGGAAGUCUGGAAAGACCCUGAUGGUGCAGUGAUUGAUCUUGGAGAGCGUGACGAUGAGAUGAUGAUAAGGACGGUAUGAACUUUGUGUGAUUUAGAUAUUUUGUUUCAAUUUGGAUGCCGGUGAUACUGUUGUUUGAGUAGAAAGAAUGUUAGGGUUUCGUUUUCGUUUAUGUGUUUUCCCCCAAUUUCAGAUAUUAUGAAAUUAUUACCAUUUAUUUGCAGAGCUAAUGAAAGUUUGAUAUUAUUAAGUUCAUGUAUAUUAAUUCAUUUUGCACGUUGAGAGCUUUAAAAAGGUGACGAGGCGGCAACAUUUGUCUGGGAGCAUCAGGUCAGGAAACAAACGCCUGUGACACUGUGGUGCAUGCAGGGUCUGGUUCGGAGAGAGUGAGAGUUAUAAAGAGAGAGAAGGAGAGAGAUGCAGAUGAUCAAGAGAAAAGGGAGGAAUUCGGAAGAGUGACGGUGAUGCCGACGACAUGAAGGCGUAGGAUCCGGUGAGGCGUUUAGAAUUCCAGCCAGCAUUUCGACCAUACCCCGGGUUGUUUCAGAACCCCGAUCAAGAUCCGACAGAGAACUGACAAGGUUUCGACGAGUCUCCGGUUAAGGUUCUGUUACAGAUUUCGUAAAGCUAUCUCUCUGACUAAGAAUCUGGCGUUUAAAGUUAAGAGAUAUUGAAGAGAAAGUGAUGCUUUAAAGUAAAGAAAGGGUAUAAUAGCUUCUUGCUGAAUUCAUAAGUAGAUAUCAUGGACCGUGGUGUCAGCAGUGGAGGGGAGAGUUCACUUGACUACCUCUUUGGAAGUGAUGAGCCAAAGACCAGUCAAGAAAGAGGUGGUGCCUAAAGUCGUUGUACCCCAGCCAGAUAAUACAAAAAUGAUCCCAGAUAAUGCAAAACAGAUUCCUAGUGGGAUCCAUAUUGCUAAGAGUACAUUGCAAGCUUUGAUAGCUUUGUUAAUAUUUUUUUUACUCUGUCUCUUUUAUCAAUAUCAAAAAAAAUUUAAGAAAAAGUUGACGAGCCGGCUUGAUUAGGCUCAAAGUUUUUAUGAGCCUAGCUUGAGCUCAACUUUUCAGCUAAAAAAAUAAACGAGCCGAGCUCGAGCUCGACUUUUUAGCUCGAAAAAAUAAACGAGACGAGUUGAGCUGGCUUGUUUAACUUUAAGUUCGAACUCGAGCGUAAGCCGUAAGUGAAUCUGAAACAUGUCAUUAAUUGUUUGUUUAGGAAUUGUCGGUCAUGUUUAGUAACCGGUCUAUCAAACAUAUUCAUCCUCUUUUAUACUAAUCUAAUUUUGUAAUUUAUAUUAUAUAGCAAAGAGUGGGGCACGGUUAAGUCUUCAGGAUCAUCCCUUUAUGAACAGAAGAUGGAUUAUUAUUAUUAUUAUUAGCAUAGUUUUUGUAAUUAAUGCAGGCAUAUCAUUUAUUUAUGGUAUUCAAAAAGAUUAAUAAAAGAUGUGCUCUUAAAUUUGUUCUACCCACCAUAAGCCAAGAUUCGGAGUAGCAUUAGCCACUGGGGUGGAUGUGGAUGUAUCCGUAGAACAACAAGCUGACCAAUUGGAUUCUACUGUUUCGGGUCAAGAUUCGGGUCAAACAUCAAAACAAACAUCAACCAUCGAUAAAUCUAAACAAAGAGCACGGCCCGUUAGAAAGAGUGAAAUGCCACCCAUGAAAGACGAAGCAUGUUGGUUGAUCAUUGCUGUAAAGUUUUGAGCAACCGCGAGUCUUGAAAGAUUAGCAUAUUAUGGUAUGAGUUCCAAUCUGUUGCUGUAUUUUAUGGGUGAACUCGACCAGCACAGCGCUACGGCCUCAAGAAAUUUAUCAAAUUGGACUCGUGCAUGCUACAUCACCCCAUUGUUUGGAGCAUUUCUUGUGGAUGGCUAUAUUGGAAAAUAUUGGACUAUAGCUAGCUCUUCAAUUUUGUAUGCCAUUGUAAGCCCACUUAAGUUAUUUUAAUCAUCAAGAAUAUAUUAGAUAUGGCUUAUUGUAUAUGAAAGGAAACUGGCUUUGGUCUAAUUUCCUCUUUGAUUGUUUGGGUACAAGAUUACGUGGGUUGGAUUUGGGGCUUUGGUAUACCUACUUUAGCCAUGGCAGUGGGUGUAGUUUCGUUCUUCGCUGGUACCUGGUUUUAUAGGAACCAUAAGCCUGCGGGCAACCCGUUGAUGACCCGUUUGUUUCAAGUGGUGGUUGCUUCAGUAAGAAAGAGAAGAGUCAAUGUGCCAACAGAAGCAUUACUUUUGUAUGAGAUUGCUGAUGCUAAUUCAACUACCGUAAGAAGCCGCAAACUUAACCAUACUAGUAAUUUCAGGUCAGUCUCAGCUUCUAAUAAAGGUGGGAAGUACCGUAAGAAGCCGCAAACUUAACCAUACCAGUAAUUUCGGGUCAAAAUAGUUAAACAACUUGCGUUCUUUAACGAUAUCGAUUGUCGGUACUGCAUACGUAACGAAACGAACCAGACCGAUGCCAAGCGAACGUCUACCGGUUCAAUAUUUUUUUUUCUUAUUUUCGAUUCAUAUGUGUUUUUACUGUUAUCGAUCAAUUGUUAUUUUUGUUGUCUUGAUAUACCUUCUAACUUUUAAUAUAACGAUAAUCGCAACCUUAUACUUUAAA